rnacentral:rRNA from 1 species
AUUGAACGCUGGCGGCAUGCUUUACACAUGCAAGUCGAACGGCAGCACGGGCUUCGGCCUGGUGGCGAGUGGCGAACGGGUGAGUAAUAUAUCGGAACGUACCCAGAAGUGGGGGAUAACGUAGCGAAAGUUACGCUAAUACCGCAUACGAUCUAUGGAUGAAAGCAGGGGACCGCAAGGCCUUGUGCUCCUGGAGCGGCCGAUAUCUGAUUAGCUAGUUGGUGAGGUAAAGGCUCACCAAGGCGACGAUCAGUAGCUGGUCUGAGAGGACGACCAGCCACACUGGAACUGAGACACGGUCCAGACUCCUGCGGGAGGCAGCAGUGGGGAAUUUUGGACAAUGGGCGCAAGCCUGAUCCAGCAAUGCCGCGUGAGUGAAGAAGGCCUUCGGGUUGUAAAGCUCUUUUGUCAGGGAAGAAACGGUAGAGGCUAAUAUCCUUUGCUAAUGACGGUACCUGAAGAAUAAGCACCGGCUAACUACGUG